CAGGCAGAAGGGUCAGACAGGCUAGAUGUCAGGGCAGGCAGAGGGGUCAGACAGGCUAGAUGUCAGGGCAGGCAGAGGGGUCAGACAGGCUAGAUGUCAGGGCAGGCAGAGGGGUCAGACAGGCUAGAUGUCAGGCAGAGGGGUCAGACAGGCUAGAUGUCAGGCAGAGGGGUCAGACAGGCUAGAUGUCAGGGCAGGCAGAGGGGUCAGACAGGCUAGAUGUCAGGGCAGGUAGAGGGGUCAGACAGGCUAGAUGUCAGGGCAGGCAGAGGGGUCAGACAGGCUAGAUGUCAGGGCAGGCAGAGGGGUCAGACAGGCUAGAUGUCAGGGCAGGCAGAAGGGUCAGACAGGCUAGAUGUCAGGGCAGGCAGAGGGGUCAGACAGGCUAGAUGUCAGGGCAGGCAGAGGGGUCAGACAGGCUAGAUGUCAGGGCAGGCAGAAGGGUCAGACUGGUACGAGUCCAGAAAAAAGGGUAAAAACCAGGAAGACUAG
ensembl:lncRNA